CUGAAAGAUCACAGAUCUCACUCUCAUCACCUCUAAAGAACAGCUGGAGAUUAGCAAAACUCAACACCUGCAGACCCUGAGCUACAGAGGACAGAACAGUCGGCAAAGGCAGAUCGACACCAAUCGUGACGAUCAUGAUGGGCCUGUUGUUCACCCUUCGCCUCCUCAUUGCUGGAGUCGUGUUGGUUUUGUUGCUU